rnacentral:tRNA from 1 species
GGGUCCGUAUUUCAAUGGGAGAAAGCUUCCUUUGCACGGAAGAGGUUGCGUGUUCGAGUCACGUUGGAUCCA